rnacentral:tRNA from 1 species
AGGCCUGUAGCUCCAAUUGGCUAGAGCAGCGGUCUCCAAAACCGCGGGUUGCUGGUUCGAGUCCAGCCAGGCCUG